UACGGAGGGUGCGAGCGUUGUCCGGAAUCAUUGGGCGUAAAGGGCGCGUAGGCGGCCUGAUAAGUAGGGGGUGAAAUCCUGCGGCUUAACCGCAGGGCUGCCUUCUAAACUGUCAGGCUCGAGCACAGUAGAGGCAGGUGGAAUUCCCGGUGUAGCGGUGGAAUGCGUAGAGAUCGGGAAGAACAUCGGUGGCGAAGGCGCUCUGCUGGACCAUAACUGACACUCAGGGACGAAAGCUAGGGGAGCGAAUGGG
rnacentral:rRNA from 1 species